CCCGUGGCGGGCGCACCGCCUGUCUGGCUCGGCUUUGUCUGACGGACGCGGUCUGCGAAACGGACGUUGUCGGAGCUCGCGCCCCAGUGGCGGAGGCACCCGGAAGAGACAGGGUUCUCUGCCUCCGGCGCGGAGAAUAUACGGCCUUAGCCCGCGGCACGGCAGCCGGGAGCGGGCAGGCCGAGCACGUGUCGGCGCGCUGCUCCUCCCCCUUCAUCUUUGCCGCGUGACAGGAAUCGCCCGGAGACUGCUGCACACGACGAAUAGAACACUCGAUCCAGGGACCCAAGCAAAAUCAACCCGGCGGAUAAAGGGACCCACGUGGAAAGUGGUGCAAAUACUGGUUAUGAAGCCUGAUUUCUAGCCCAGACUGCUACCUGUGCUUUCUCUUCCUCACCAGCGGCCUCGCAGUCACACGUUUACCUGUGACAGGAUUAGCUGGGUGCCACAGAAAACCCAAACCACUGUGCUUUUUACCUGGUUUGCGCACCAAAGACUGCGGAACGUGGUCAUUUGGGGGGUGGGGGUAACGGGGAUCGAGCUCAGGUCUUUGUGCUUGCCCGCGGAACCACUGAGCGAAAUCCCCGGCCCAGGACAUGGUCUUUGAUGCACUCAUCAGUCAAUGAGCAGCGCACCUUCAAGGCAAACGCCCAACUGCCAGUUACCUACAGUUUCCAAAAUUACCAAUAAACUCAGAUCUCGCCCUUAUUACAGCCAAGGAGUAGGGUUUUGUUUUUGUCAUGGAUAGUUAUUAUUAAAGUUGUCCCUUAGGAUCCUCGGGGAUACCAUUCAAGACCUGUGUGCUUGCCAAAAUCUGAGAAUGAUCCAGUUCUGUGUAUGAAGAGGCUCAGUAGUACUUGUGUAUAACCUACGCACACCCUGUCAUAUACAUUGAGAUCUCUAGAUUACAAUACCGACUGUACAUAGCUGCCAAACUGUAUUGCUCAACUGUAAUUACAAGAAAAAUUUCGUAUAUAUCUAGUACAGAUGCAAAUUUUUUCCGAAUAUUUUCAUGGGAAGUUAAUUCGUUCCCUAUAUCCACCAUCUACAGUUAGAAAUGGCAGAUACUGUAGAUGCAUUCAUAUAAAUGGAGAAAUCAUGACCACUGUGUGAAAUUAUAGUAUUAGUAAUAUCUCCUUUGGGAUUCCUAGAUUGCUCUUUUCCCACUACCAUUGAAUACUGAUCUUUGAAGUAAUUAUUUUCUGUGAUAAGAAUAAUCAAACCAACAUAAAAACACAUUGAGGAUGGCAAAGAGCUGAAAUUUAAAUCGUGGAAAAAGAGAAAAUUCAUUGACAACAAUUAAGGAAUACCAUCUGCCUGUUACACAGAAUAUCAACAGAGAGUGAAAAAUGAGUUAUUCACAAGAGCUGAAUUUUAAGAAUUCCAAUCAAUGGGCUCAGACCAGCAAUAUCCUAGGAACUUGUAAGAAACGCAGAUUCUCAGGCCUGGAUCGGAAAUUGUGCAACAAUCUGUUUUAACAACCCUUCCCAGUGACUGCACACGUCAGUUUGAGAGCCACUGUAUUACCUUACAGUCAACAAGAAGAUCCCAUGCAGUGAACAGGCCUCUUCUACCACAUGCUGCAACCACAAUGUACUAUGCUGUCAUUGCAGAAAGCAAAACAGCCAAGGGACUAGAGACUGAGCCUCUGAAACCGUGAGCCCAAAAAACUUUUCUUCCUCCUUUUAAGGUAUCAUGAUUAGUGAUGGUUCCUUGACGACACAAACCUCGAUAGCAAGCACAUCAGCCUUCUACAGGAAGGAAGCAGACUGGAAAAUUUACCUAAUACAAGCACAGUCACUGCUAAGGAAAAAGGAAGAUAACUCAGCGUGGGAAACAGAAAACCAAGGGGAAGAACUAAAAAGCUCAGAGAAUCAUUUCCUGGGAGCUGGGUUGUGUGCUGCUGACAUAGCUAACAACACUUUUCCAGCAGGAGUUCAGAACUGCAAGGAACCAGUGGUUGCUCUGUUUCCCUUUUGGGUAUGGCUCUGUCUGCAGUGGUUAGUCUCUCUCCAGACUUCCACUUGAUGGCGUGUGUGUGUGUGUGUGUGUGUGUGUGUGUGUGUGUGUGCAAGCUCACAGGACUGCCUAGUCCCAAGGAUUUAGAAGAAACAGACCCCUGAGUAUCGUCUCUGUGCCAGGACCUCACUUAGUUGCCACGAACCUGGAUAUGAAGUCUCCAUCUCCAAUUGACCAGGAGGAAACAAGCCAUCAACUUUCUGAGCUUCAGCUUCUUCAUGUGUAAAAUAAGGACACUUUAAUGAGCAAUAAAAAGACCAAUGCGAAGCCAAGUGAGGUGCUUGAACGAGAGACCUGAAAGCUGAAUUUCAUAACUGAAGAAGCCUUGGUGAACUGUUUGGGGUAAGUAGAACUGGGAGGCAUUUUUGAGAACUGUGUUUUUCAGUAUUCAUAGUCACUUCAUCUUCAAUUUGCUGCUUCUGUGUGGAUUAAAGUGAGUGAUAAUCAACUACAAAUUUCUCCAAGUCCUACUUGAAAUUGUCUGCUAAUGUUUCCAAAAGCAUGUUAUUGCCUGUGGGCUGGCCCUGUGACCUGUGCUUCUUUUUCGAAGAAAUUUGAGCGAUACCACAGAUACUGUGAUUAAGCACCAGGAAAAGAAUGACAUGUCUACUAUCUGCUUAAUCAAUGUAAUCAGCGAAAGGAAGCAAGUAUGAUAUUUUUAUCAUACAUACUUCCUGUUUUGGUUCCUGUUACUUAAGUGAAUUAUCAGACUUCUACCAGAUUGCUGAGCCAAGGGAAACCAGGCUAGUCCUAUUGGCAGCAAUGCGAAGUCACAGAAUUGCUUCUUGUCCUGAAGAAAUCACACAUGAGUAAGAAAGUCUCUGGUGAAGUCUGUCCUCAAGCUUUGGGUCUGUAAGAAGGUGCCACGUGAAGGAAUGGUGCUUUAGUGAUGGGAGGACCUCCAGUGGAAGCCUGUGUCAGCCUGAUGAAGGAAGUUUCUUUGCAAUGAUCAUCCUGAGGCAUUGAGAAUUCAUUUACACCUCCUCUGUAACAUUAAAGAGCUCGAGGGAGCCUCAGGGUCUGCUGCCUGUGUUAUCUUUUGCACUUCUAGACCAGUAGGCUGAGAGGUUUAGUAGGUGGGCUGGAGAAGCUAAGCCUGCUGCAAUGUGUGGGACCGUCCUGAACAUUGGAUACCUGUUCUCCAGGUACCACCAGCACGUUUUGGAUAAACACUACCACCGAGCAAACUCUGGAAAGAAAGAACAUUAUUGAUGGAUAACCUUUAAAGCUCUCUCCCUAUCAUUAGUUUCCACCCAAAUCCCUUUCAACGAUGAGAGUUGAUCCCACUGUGCCCGCUGUUUCUGUCUCUCUUCCUAACCACAAAACCUUUCUCUGCUAAUAGCAGUGCUUUUGUCUCUUUCCCUCUCUUGCCUCACAAGCUUGUUUGCAAGCUCCUAUCAUUUAUCCUGUCUGGUUUCUUACAUUUUUUCUGAAUUUUUGCUAGGAGAUCUUUAGAGGAAGCUUGGCAAGCCAGAACCUGUUGUUCCCAAAAACCUGGAAGAAGGAAGAAGGAAAAACUUGGGGACUCAUCCUUUAAUAAUACUUAUUCCUACUUGGCACGUGAAAGAAGUGCUGCUGCUGUCACUGGCACCCAGAGUGUCCAGGAGUGUAAGAGAGGUUUUGUGGGAGAGGCUGGGGGAGGCCAGGGAGUAGGGCAGCAUGCCACCCCAUCAUCACCUUUAUGUGCAUCUUUUGCAAGGCAGGCAGGGCACAGUUAAUGCUGAGUACCAUUUCCUGAAGCUGGCUUUGUAAGUGCCCACUUUGGUGCUGCCAUUAGGAAUCCAUGUGUCUGUCUAGCUUCUGGGUUAGCAUGAUACACACACAUACACACACACAAUAUACAUAUAUGCCAUCUAUAUUGUAAUUAUUGUAUUUCCAUGUCUCAAUUGUCAUUACUUGUCAAAAUAAAUGCCCAUGGAAUAUAGGUAUGUGAAAGUUAUUUAUGUUCUCAUGCUCUAAAACAUUUCAUUAAAAUAUGGACAUGGACUUAUGAGUCUAAACUUAUUCUCUGAAUAUAAAUAAGCUCAUAACAGUGCUACAAACAAUUAAAGAGAUUUUAUUGUAUGAAAGAAAGUCAGUGGUAGAGGAAAAAAAGUGUCCCCUGGGCUAUAACAUCAUUCUAUUGAUAACAGGACACUUUGAAAUGGUGUAUCUCAGUUUGAUACCCAUAUGUGUCUCUGAACCAGAUUAGGACUUUGUAUUUCCAGAGAGUUACAAAACAAACAAACAAACAAAACCCCCCCAGCAUUUGUAUGUUAAUCUGUUCAUUCUCUCCUUGACUCUGGCUCUAGUUUAUAAUUUACAAGAGGACAUCUGUCAUGUGACUGAGAAUAAAUUCAAAAAGUAAGAAACAUCGUCCCAAUAUCAAUAAGUUUUUAAAAAGUUAUGGCUCAUAAACUCAACUUUAAUAAUAACAGCUUACAUUUAGAGAGAAAAUUCAAAUUCUGUUUCAAGUAUAGGAAUGUUGGAAUAUGCUGUUAGAAGUAAUGUCAUAACUAUACCACAUUCUUACUUUUAUUCCCUAUGCUUUCGUAUAAGAAUAAUUCAAAUAGGAAGUAAAUGGAAAUGAUAUUCAUAUAGCAGAGAAGAAUCCAUGUGGGAAUGAAGUAGUUCUAUUAAAUAUGGCAAAAUGAUAUAGUGUCAUAUGUUUUAAAAUUACCCUUUCACCAAACAGUAUCUCUGAGGUGGGAAAAAGUGAGGUAGGAAAACACUGAAUUUUUAUUUUAUAUUGAAUGCUCAGGAGGGUCCCUUGGGAUAUUGCUGUACUCAAAUGGCUGAUGAUCAUAUGCAGGUUUCUGUUCAAGAAGAAUAACAGAAAUGUCAUAUUAGCUCACUACAGAUAAGUCAAGAAUAGUCCUCAAUUUGAUACAUGACAUUUGAUGGCAUGGGUGUAUUUUAAACUGUUCUUUUGGUAGCGAGGAAUAUGUACACUACUUAUUCCCCUUUGCCAUUUUUUCUUCACCAUGACUGAUUUCCUAAAAAAUAUAGUACUAGUUAAAUAUUGUGCAAUCCCUCCCUAUCUACAAAGACUUUGUUUCCAUUUUUUCUUUUUCUCGUAUUAAGUCCAUACCCUUCUUUCCUUUCCGCUACCCCUCCCACUUCCU